rnacentral:rRNA from 1 species
AGUGAACGCUGGCGGCAGGCCUAACACAUGCAAGUCGAGCGGCAGCGGGUCCUUCGGGAUGCCGGCGAGCGGCGGACGGGUGAGGAAUGCGUCGGAAUCUGCCUUUUUGUGGGGGAUAACGUAGGGAAACUUACGCUAAUACCGCAUACGACCUACGGGUGAAAGUGGGGGACCGCAAGGCCUCACGCAGAAAGAUGAGCCGACGUCGGAUUAGCUAGUUGGCGGGGUAAAGGCCCACCAAGGCGACGAUCCGUAGCUGGUCUGAGAGGAUGAUCAGCCAGAGGGGAAGGGAUGCGGGGUAGAGGCGCCGGCGGGAUGCAGCGGUGGGGAGUAUUGGACGAGGGGCGAAAGCUUGAACCGCACAUGCGGCGGGAAGGAAGAAGGUCCGCGUAUUGUACGGAGGUUAGAGCUGGAAGGAAAGACAGUACGCAAACAACCUGCUGGCAUGCCGCGACCAAAAGAAGAAGCACCGGCUAACUUCGUG